AACGCACAUUGCGCCCUCUGGUAUUCCGGGGGGCAUGCCUGUUCGAGCGUCAUUACACCACUCAAGCACUGCUUGGUAUUGGGCGUCGCGCCUGCCGCGCGCCUUAAUUUGACCGGCUGAGCCGUCCGUCUCUUAGCGUUGUGGAAUCUAUUCGCUUCACGAGACUGUGACGACUUUGCGCCGUUAAACUCUUCAAUCAAGGUUGACCUCGGAUCAGGUAGGGAUACCCGCUGAACUUAA
rnacentral:misc_RNA from 1 species